AGCAAAAGCUCCCACCUCGUACAGAAGUGGGAAAGCAUCCGUGAAUAGGCGCAUCUCUGUCUAAUCAUCGACUCCUGUCGGAUUAAUCGGUCCAAAAUUGGACUGGUAACCCAGCUAAAAAAAUUUUCGCUGUUUCUAUGGCCUCCUCCGACCGAGUCUAAAAUGUAAAAAACAGCCAUCCUUAUAAAGACCGAGGUAUGUAUUAAAGAUUGUGGGCCACGGAUUCGGAUUGAUUAAUAACUCGGUCGACUAGUUUCCCUACGUGUUUUCUUUUAAUGUUCGGUUGGAAUGCCGUUUCCGCCAUUUUUAUAAAUUAAUCACGUCGCCACCGAGUCGAGUCGUUCUUUAUUUUCGUAACCCCCGGGGUGGAAUAUGGCGGAGUCGAUAAUUUGUCAUAAACUGGGACGGCAGUUGGAAAAACGGCUUAACCCGCCUACGUUGGAUUCUUAGGCGGCCUAGGCCGGUGGAACUCGACUAGCCCCGGCGGAGAGUAGAUGGAUGAUCUUUUCCCUUUCUGUCUCCGAUGGUGGUCGAGAGCCUGUCGUUUUGAAGGACAGCCAUCGACAUCGAUUAAAGAAGCGUUUUUCUUAAUCGAUGCCGAUUUGUCACUAGUCUGUCACCACUAAUAUUAUUAACUGGUUUCUGCUCUAAAAUUAUUGUAGUCGAAAACUUUUACUCCCGCCUACAUCCGUCUCGGCUGAGAAAUGGCUCAAAAUUCCAUAUUGGGUUAACGUAUAAUCCACAGGUGAAAUACUUUUAGUUUUAACGCAUCGGUGCGUCGUAAAUUAUUCUUUAUUCGCUGGAUAAACAUUUUUAUACUAGUACUCCGACCGCGGUUCCCAAAAUAUCGAUUACCACCGGUUAAUAGUCCGAUACUAUCCAUUAAUCCCGGUAGUAUGUGACUACUAGUCCGACAAAUUAUAACAACGCCGACCAGAAAAAUCUUCGAGCAUUACCGAAUCUAAUCUAGGAAUGGCCCAGAGCGCUCCAUGCGUUAUUUAGAUUGGCCGGACAUUCCAUAAUUGCGAUUCCACGGAUGGAAAAAUUCCCGGAAGUAAUUUUCUAGAUAAACUGGAUAUUUUCUGUCACCAUUAAUUAAAGAAGUCUAACCACUUUUAAUAAAGGGUAAUUUUCUUCCGUAGAAGUAUGGGCUAGAAAUAAGUUAAAGAUAAAAGAUUUUAUCCAAGAGGAGAGAAAGUAAUUGUUUUAGAGGCCGGGUGCCAUAUUUAAAUAAUAGCUGGUGGUGUAAAAUUAAUCCGAAAUCUUUAUAUUCGAUUAAUACUUAAUAAAUAUCGUAUAUAAUAAGUACUUUGCUCCGUAUUAAAAUAAAGUUCCAGAAUUUAAGUCUAUAAUUUUAAAUGACGUUUAAAAUGAUUAAUAUCGCGAUUUUAUUAUUUUAAUAAUUGAUAUAGACAGUCCAGUCAUCUGGUCGGAAUGCGGUAUAUUACUGGUUAAUUUAAUUUAAAGAAUUUUUAAAUUGAUCCAAUGAAAAAAUAAAGCUAUUUCCAAGAACAGUCUUUCCCCAGAUAUUGUUACCAACCGUUUAUUAGGCAAAUUUACCAGCUCUUUUUCGUUAUAUUCAAUUCGGCCGAAUAAAAAAACCAGUCGAGACCGGCUAAGACUCGUUUUUCUUAAACCUACUGAAUAUAGAUAAGCGCGUGGUUAGCCAAUACCCACCAACCCAUGUAGGCGACGUGGUGUUACCCGCCCGAGUAAAUCGAGUGAUAAUUAUAUAAAUGUGGAACCGGUAUAUGGCGUGUUUACAGAAAGAAUUGGGUAAACACAUCGACCCUAGUUUUAUGGCCAAAUUUUUUCUAUUUUUGUCUGAUGCUCAUUUAUGGCAGUGGCGCUCCAUCCGUCUUUCGAUGAAGACGAUGGUGAUAUUUUUGAGUCCUUUCUUCUAAUUCCCGACUGAGCAGAAAUAUUGCCGACUGUUCGAAAGAACUCUAUAAUAUAUAACUGCCAAAGGUAUUUUUCACCGGAAAAAUAUAUUUGUCUUUCCAAUAAAUAAAUCCAGCACGUUCGAAAUAGCUUAAUUCUAAGAGAGUAACUGACGCUCAAGGUGAGAUAGCUGAAGAUUAUCCAGAAACCGGCCGAGUGGCGUAUGGUCUGCACCGCUCCCGGUUCAAAGUUCGAGCGCUUCCUUCCACAUUUUUCAUUUCUCAUUCUGAUAGCCACCUUCUGGUUACGUGACUACCCAGUUAAAUCAGUAAUUGUCUAGUUAAGACCGUUCGGUCUCCGCUAUCUUUUUCCUGCGCCGGCACCGAAUCACCGCUUUCCCGCCGUUUCUACCAGGACUAUUUCGAUAUUGGACCGAACAAUCGAAAUUUUUUAAUUUCGUUUUAAACAUAAUAAAUAAACUCUUCUAAAGUGUUUAUGGGUGGAAUAAUUGCUCGCCCAAAAACCGGUCAGUAACGUAUUUAUGACACAAAAGUGAAUCUAACUGGAUAAAGAAAGACGAAACAAAUGCAGUCGGUAAUUAGUGUGAGCGCAUCUCUCGGACUUUUUGUUUUUGAUUUUGUUAAUAGAUUUUGGAUAUCAAGCGACGGGCUACUUAUAACCCAUAACGAAUUGACCGCACCUAUUUGGGAUCUGCCGGAUGGACACCAUGAAAGCGUGCUGCCCUUUCACUUAGACGGUCCAGUGGCGAUCAAUUCGGAUCCCACUUUUCCAAAAGUUUUUUGGCAGACUUCUGGGCCCGACUGGUUGAAACCCUUCCGCUAGCUGGUGUAAAUCUAAUAUGAUGUGAACGGUCAUAGCGGCAUGGAAAUGUCCGCUGCAUAGUACAUACCAGGUGGAAAGGGAUAUUAAACCAUAGAGGACGUAUUGCCUCUAUGCCUCAUCGUCUCUGAUAGAUAUGGCAACACUCAUACGUAAACUUUAAAUAAAAUUUAACUGUUAUUAGUGAAUGUUUUUGGUAUUAAUGUGCAGUCGACCGCAGUGAAAGUGUGCUAUGCUUCCACCCUGGAGGAUUUAGGUUCAAUUCAUGUUCCCAAUUCUCCUGUUUUUUAGGCGAGUUCAGGCUUGGCUCGUUGAACUCCAUCAUCCACUUGAUCCCACCAGAGAUUUUGGCUGUCCAUGGUGAACGUGGAAAUGCUCCUCCACUUAGUAUGUACUCAUCUGGUAGAAAGCAGCGUUAAAUCACAUAGAAACAAAUGUUAAUGGAUAAAAUUUUUAUAAAGGAAAUAUUUUGCCUCUGAUGCAGGAUUCUUUAAUACAAAAAAUAGGAGAAAUUGUGCUAGACUGGAUGGCUCCGUUGUAAAGCUGUGGCUUGUCACUCUGAAGGAUCCAGGUUCAAAUUUGACACACCACUCAGUUUUUCAAGACGGCUCCGGGUCCGACCUGUUUUAUUUAUUUUUUUUGUUAAUAGAUGACGCCACUUUCACUUAGUAAGAAUAUUAAGCAGCGGGGCGAAACAAGCUCUUUCAC
rnacentral:lncRNA from 1 species